rnacentral:rRNA from 1 species
AGGUAAUAGAUACCCCGGUAGUCCACGCCGUAAACGAUGGAUACUUGGUGUUGGAGGUAUUGACCCCUUCAGUGCCGAAAGCUAAACGCGUUAAAGUAUCCCGCCUGGGGAGUACGGCCGCAAGGUUAAAACUCAAAGAAAUUGACGGGGCCCGCACAAGCGGUGGAGCAUGUGGUUUAAUUCGAUGCAACGCGCAGAACCUUACCUAGGCUUGACAUGGAUUGGAAGGGUGGCAGAAAUGUCCCCGCCCGCAAGGGCCGAUUCACAGGUGCUGCAUGGCUGUCGUCAGCUCGUGUCGUGAGAUGUUGGGUUAAGUCCCCGCAACGAGCGCAACCCCUAUGUUUAGUUGCCAGCAUUUAGUUGGGCACUCUAGGCAGACUGCCGACGUUAAGUCGGAGGAAGGUGGGGAUGACGUCAAGUCCUCAUGGCCUUUAUGUCUAGGGCUACACACGUGCUACAAUGGUAGGUACAGAGGGAAGCAAGAGUGCAAACUGGAGCUAAUCCCAAAAAACCUAUCUAAGUUCGGAUCGAAGUCUGCAACUCGACUUC